AGGUCCGAGGACCACAGCUUGGGAAUCAAUCAAGCAAUGACGUCACUGGUCCUAGAAGCGGAAAUGCGUGUGACGUGAUAUGUGACGCGCAUUGUAAACAACCAAAGUGGAUGUUUUGCUAGCCUGUAAGUAAAGGAAUGCAGUUACAAGAGUCGUUUCCUUGAAGCUCCAGGAUGUUGUGUGAAGUCCUGCUGUCAUCCCUAUGGUUCCUGUUUGUUAUCUUCUGGGUCGAGACAAUAAGUGUUUGGCUGUUUCUGUCCAUGUUCUACCAGGACCGGGCGUUUUACCACUGGGGAGAUGGGGUAUUUGCAGAUGAUCCAGGACAGAUGAUAUACAUGUUGAGCAGAGUUGAUACCCAUAUGCAGACGGAGAUGCAGACCUGAGGCGGGAAAAGAUCAAGAACUCCACUGAAAGGACUCUCAAAAAAGGGCGGUUGCAGUUAUGUGACUGAAGAACAUAUGAUGAAAAGCAGUCGCUUUUUUUCCUUUGCACUGAUUGCUUCGCACGUUGUUGUGCACAGUCUUUGUUAACAUAGAUACAUACAAGUAGUCCCACUUUCAAUAAUAAUAGGUGGUGGAGAGUUGCAGCAUGAGUGAAGGCUCAACUAAGACGUAGAGGAAUGUUCCUCAGUGAUUGAUGUGUGUCACACAUACCUGUGUAGCAUUUAUAUUUCCACUUUCAGAUUUUGGGGAAGCAGAAUGAAUGUAGCAGAAAAUGCUUGGUUUGGUUGGUCUUUCUUUUAACUCCAUUUUGAAACUUGCACUGAGAUGGCGUUCUAUGCAACUAAAGUGUGUGCUGUCUGCAGCUAUAUUUGCGUUUUAAAUAUCAGAUUGCAGUAAAGCUGUUAUAAGUUAGGUAUAUGAUUGUUAUUAACAAUUGUCUGAUAUGUUGGUUAGUUUGAUGCCAUGAUCUCCAACAAAGAGCUAAGCUAGAGUUCAUAAUUUCAUCAAGAAUUUGAUAUUUUUCACACUAAAACCCGUCACCUACAGUAAAUAAACUGGUAGUAGGAACAACAUUUGAACUUGAAGCUUCAUUAUAAACCUUGGAAAUAUUAUUUUGAUUAUUAUUUUAAAUUUGUCCACUUUCAACCACAUCUUGAGGCCUUUAUCUCUGGAUGGAUUUUGCUCAGUUGUCAUGUAUCCCUAUCUUGAUAUAAGACCACUUAUUACAUGACUUAAAAUUUCAUGCCGUGGUCACAUGAUAACUGAGCCAUCUCCACGGCAACUGCAAAAGCUCCAUCUGCUGUUGAAGAUCACAAGAUAGGACCGAAAGCCCUGAAAGUGGACUUUGUGUUCUGAUUUUUUUUUGUCAGAAAGGAGCAACAUAUUAUUUGCGUGUGUGUUUAAAGACGAGGAAGACGAGGAAGAUAAUAGUGGGGAGAGUAUACGCCAUGGUAGGAAUCCUCUCUUAAAAGCAAUAUGUUAAUAUUAUAUCUAGUAAAUGAAAUACAAAUGAAAGUAUACUUUUAAAAUAAACAACUCUUUGCAAACCUGUGAGAUUAUUGGUCUGCCAAAACAUUUUUGUAUUCCCUCUCUGUCAAUUAAAGGGUUUUCUUUUGAACAAAUCCAGCAGAUAGUUUUGGUCAGAUUUUAUAACUGAGACAAAGAAUGUCAAUGCUGUUUUGUAUAAAUAUGCUAAAUAAAUGGGAGUAUUUUCAA